ensembl:lncRNA ROCR regulator of chondrogenesis RNA
GUAAAAGCUUGAGAGAAAAUGCCAGGGGAAAGCAUGGAAACUUUCUGGGGAUAAACUAUGGGUCUCCACCUUUGCACUUAAUCAGGGGACAGCCACUAACCCCAGUAGCUGCAUGCUUUCUGCCACCUUCAUCUACCUGAGCAAAACUUCAAGGACAUGUUUAUGCUGAAUCUCCAGAGAGAGCAAUAGAAGCCCAGCUUGAGGGAAAUGACUGGACCUUGAUUACUUAGGAUAAAAAGAGAUCAAUUUAUGGGGCAGUAAGGAAAGAAUGAUUCAUUUUGACUGUGAUUGCUGGGAAAGAUAUCUUGAAAUGGAGACUGUGAGUACCCUCUCCAAGCCAUGAGAUGGAAGAGUGUCCUUAUAUGAAGACUGCUGGAGUUCCAUUGGCUGGAAGUGCCUCAGGCUGUGGCUGGUGUUUGAAGGGCUGCUCCACACAUAUCAAUCAUCCUUUGACAAGAUCUGGAAGAAAAAAAAA